GGCAGGCUUAACACAUGCAAGUCGAGCGCCCACUUCGGUGGGAGCGGCAGACGGGUGAGUAACGCGUGGGAAUCUACCCAAUUCUACGGAACAACUCAGGGAAACUUGAGCUAAUACCGUAUACGCCCCCUUAUAGAGAUAUUUGGGGGGAAAGAUUUAUCGGAGUUGGAUGAGCCCGCGUUUGAUUAGCUAGUUGGUGGGGUAAUGGCCUACCAAGGCGACGAUCAAUAGCUGGUCUGAGAGGAUGAUCAGCCACACUGGGACUGAGACACGGCCCAGACUCCUACGGGAGGCAGCAGUGGGGAAUAUUGGACAAUGGGCGCAAGCCUGAUCCAGCCAUGCCGCGUGAGUGAAGAAGGCCCUAGGGUUGUAAAGCUCUUUCAACGGUGAAGAUAAUGACGGUAACCGUAGAAGAAGCCCCGGCUAACUUCGUGCCAGCAGCCGCGGUAAUACGAAGGGGGCUAGCGUUGUUCGGAUUUACUGGGCGUAAAGCGCACGUAGGCGGAUCGUUAAGUGAGGGGUGAAAUCCCAGGGCUCAACCCUGGAACUGCCUCUCAUACUGGCGAUCUUGAGUUCGAGAGAGGUGAGNGGAAUUCCGAGUGUAGAGGUGAAAUUCGUAGAUAUUCGGAGGAACACCAGUGGCGAAGGCGGCUCACUGGCUCGAUACUGACGCUGAGGUGCGAAAGCGUGGGGAGCANACAGGAUUAGAUACCCUGGUAGUCCACGCCGUANACGAUGAAUGUUA
rnacentral:rRNA from 1 species